GAUUUUACAUAUUCAAUUUUAAAAAUUAAAUUACUCUAAAUUGUUCCAUUAUUGUUUAUGUUUCGGGUGUUGUCAUCCUAAAUAGUAUCUUUCUAUUUGACGACGUUCUUUAUGUGUUCUCCUAAAUAAACUAAGUAUACAAGUGUCUGAAAUCGAAGAAAAUGGUCCGCAAAAAAAAAUUGCUUUCGUAAAUUUUUAAGUUUUUACACGUCACAAUGUUCCGGUUUUUUAAAUAUUUCAAUUCGGUCCCGGUAUGGCCACGGUUCUCGACAUUACACUGGUUUUAAGGGUUU